GGGAUUGGGGCUCAGAGGAAGAGCUCUUGCCUCGCAUGCAUGAGGCUCUGGGUUCAAUCCUCAGCACCA
rfam:Ictidomys tridecemlineatus contig060117, whole genome shotgun sequence.